rnacentral:lncRNA from 10 species
GCAGCACCAACUCUAAGCACAACAGAGGCCAUCAAGACCACGAAGUGGUGACUGCUGGGAGUCAGAGUAGAUCAGAAAAAACAAUUAGGAUUUGGAAAGGCAGUAGGAUGGCACCACUCACCCUAGGCAGAAAACAUACACCAGCCGAGACACCACAAUGGGAUGAGCAGCCUGUCUUCCAAGGAGGUGGAGAAGGCAAAGUCCAGACUGGAGGAAAGGGAAAGGUGGAGAAGGACCAGGAAGCUUUAGUGACAAGAUGAAUAACAAACAUAUCAAUGAGAAAACAGGCCAAGGAGUCAUCAGCAGGCACAGUCCCUACAGCAUGAGAACAAAAUGCUAAGCUCCAUGAGGAACUGACUGAGCGCAAGAGGACAGCUUCGACUCUCUCUGACUUCAUCUCCCACCCAACCGAUCAGUACUCCUGACUCACUGGCCCCUACCCACCAAAUUAUCCGUAACAACUCUGAUCCCUGAAUUCUGAG